GGGCUGGUGAGAUGGCUCAGUGGGUAAGAGCACCCGACUGCUCUUCCGAAGGUCCGGAGUUCAGGUCCCAGCAACCACAUGGUGGCUCACAACCAUCUGUAACAAGAUCUGACGCCCUCUUCUGGAGUGUCUGAGGACAGCUACAGUGUACUUACAUGGAAUGAAUGAAUAAAUCUUUAAAAAAAAAAAAAAAAAAAAAAAAAAAAAAGAACCAAUUGGGGAACAGGACCUUUAGGGUUCACAAUCAGAAUCAUCACAAUAAGAUGCACACAUGUAUACAUAGUUAAAAACAAAAAACCCAAGAUAUAUAGUUUUAAACGAAUCUCAAAACUGUCUGUCAUGGUAUAUGCCUGUUUCUCCAGUACCCAGGAGAGCAGAGGCAGGGGAAUUUUGAGUUCCAGGUCAGUGUAAUCCAUAGAGUAUGGCAGUAUUUCAAAACACUAUAGAUAAAUAAAUAUCCUAAAUAUAUACAAUUACAUAUCAAUUACCAAUAACUACAUAUGGAUAGAUGUAGUGGUGCAUACCUAUAAUUGUAGCACUCCAGACGCAGAGAUAAGAGUUCAAGGCUAGCCUGGACUACAUUGUGAGUCCUAAAACAGCAGAUCUUUCUAAUUUUAUUGUAAGGAUUGUCUAGCAACACACAUUUUUAAUUUCAGCACUCAGGAGGCAUAGGCAGAGAUGGAUCUCUGUGAGUUUAAGGCUAGCCUUGUCUACUUAGUGAGUUUUAGGCCAGCCAAGACAAAAUAGUGAGACUUAGUCUCACAAAACACACUAGUCUUAUUUAUGUGUAUGGGUGUUUUGCCUGUAUGUAUGUAUGUAUGGCAUGUAUAUAUCUGAUAUCAAUGGAAACCAGAAGAGGGUGUUGGGUCCUUUGGAAUUGGAGGUACAGAUGGUUGUGAGCUGCCACAUGGGUGCUGGGAAUCAAACCCAGGUCCUGGAAGAGCAGCAAGUGCUUUUAACCACGGAGCCAUCUCCACAGUUGUUGUCAUCGUCCCCCACUCCCCUGCCAUUAAAACAAGCAAUCAGGGCCCACAAGAUGGCUCAGUGGAUAUGAACACCUGCUACCAAACAAAAGGCUCAACUUUGAUCCCGAGGGUCCUUGUAAAGGACCGAGCUGAUUCCUUCAAGUUCUCUUUUGAGUUCCUUAUGUACCAUGGCAUAUACAGCACACAUGCACAUGCAUGUGUGCAUACCCAGAUCAGUAAAGUUAUGAAGCCAGCUGUCUAUAAAAGUACCUUACGGACUGAAGAGAUGGCUCCAUGAUUACGAGCACUUGUUAUUAUUCCAAGAGAUAAGAAGUUCAGUUCCCAGCUCCCAUGAUGAGUGGCUUGACACCACCUGUAACUCUAGUUCUAGGGGGUCCAUCCAACACUAACAUUUGGUACACACACACACACACACACACACACACACACACACGUACACAAAAGUAAGAAGAACUUUAAAGAACCUGAAGUUAAGUACAUUUUGUAUGUUUUCAAUUUCUUAAAUAAUGCAUACUUUCUGUAGAAUUUUCUGGGCUCUAGAAUAAUUUAAAUAGCACGAUAAUUAUUGUUCCUUAGAAAUUAGAAGCUGUCCAUGAAACUGCCUGGUCCCAGUGCCUUUUUAAGCAGGUGAUAAUUUGAUAAUAUGUGGAUAGUCUGUGAAUUUUUGUUCUCAAGUUUUUAUUUUCCUCUUAAGUUCAUUUUUGUUCUUUUAGAUCUUCUUCCGAGGUGGUCCAUUCAUCCCAAGUGAACUCCUAACAGUAGAAUUUUGAGAAGAACUUUAUUAGCAGGGUUCUCAGGCAUAACCAGGUCAUGAAAGAAUGAUUAACGUGGUAGUCGCCAAGAGAAACCCAGGUGGCCUGUGAUGUAGAAAACUAAUUUGGGGGGAAUAAAAAGUAGAGACAUGGGGCUGAAGAGAUGGCUCAGUGGUUAAGAACAUUGACUGCUCUUCCAGAGGUCCUGAGUUCAAUUCCUAGAAACCACUUGGUGGCUCACAACCAUCUGUAAUGGGAUCUGAUGCUCUCUCCUUGUGUGUCUGAAGACACUGACAGUGUACUCACAUACAUAAAAUCUUUUUAAAAGUAGCAAUAUGUUAAGCAAGCAUAUCCCAUUUAGGAACCUGAGAACCUUCUGGAAUAAGAUGCUGACUAUAUAGUAAGGUCAUGUGUGGAAAUGGCCAGGAACUCCCAUUCCCCUCACAGGCCCCGCCUUGUCUAAAGUCUCCCUAAUGGCUGGAUUACAGCAAUCACUGCUAUACCAUGCCAGCCUAGCAUUUGGGAGCUGGUACCAUGCUGCUGGUCAGCCUCACUUAACUAACUCACUUGGGUAGUGGGGAUUGGUAGUGCCCACGCUAGGGCUCUUAGAAUUAGAGGCAACAGCCCUCACACCCACUUAAUGGUUAUUGGCAUGAUCUUCACGUGCUGGACACUGUAAAUGUACCCUUUGGGGGAGUAUGCUUUGAGGUGUCAUUGCAUAUGGGGAAGACAGGCAGAAUCGGGUUCUGAGAAACCAUCAUUUUGGAAGGUCCCUUGGUGUGAGCAGACAGAGACAGUGAGUGGGGCAGGAUAGGUCCAGAAGAGUGACUGUGAGCCACGAGUGAGGUCAUGAACAAUCCAGGCAGUUAUUGUCUGAGUUGGGAGAGCAGAUGAGUCCAGUUUUAAAUAGCAAAAGGCCAAGAGUGUCCCCAGCAGCCUCCGCCCUCCAGGACAGGCAGAAGGGCUGGUGUGGGAGCCGGAGAAGGGAGGGAGAGGUUUCCUCGAGAGCUGGAGGAUGGCAGUCGGUAGCCUCAUGGAGAGAAGAGGCGUGGGCCCCAUCACUUAAGAACAGAAGUCCACGCACAGGGAGCUGAGGCGUAGUCUGGGGAGAGAAGAGGCUUCGAGAAAGCUCAGAAGCAAACCAGAGGGCCCAGGUUAUGCCAGUGAUUUUCUCCCAGCAUGGAGUUUUCUCUGUGAGCUGCAUUCAGGGAACCUUUAGCUGCCAUCUCCUCUCCCGUUCCUCCUGAUGGAAUGUAACAAAAGAAAAUAACCUUAAUCAAGACCAGACGUCUGGCCCGGGGUUUGGCAUCUGUGUUUGUGGCAUAAAAGACCGGGUCCAGCACAAGCCCGCUUUCAUUCUUUGAUUACAAAACAAGAAAAGGCUCUGGCGUUUGAGGAGAGGUGAGAGUGUGUUCUCUAGUGACUUGCUUGUUUGGUUUUGGCUCAUCUUCCUAUAGGCUAUUUGCUGAUUUAGACACAAAACU
rnacentral:lncRNA from 1 species